rnacentral:rRNA from 1 species
CCAAUAGCGUAUAUUAAAGUUGUUGCAGUUAAAAAGCUCGUAGUUGAAUUUUAGGCCUGGCCGGGCGGUCCGUCUUUGGCGAGUACUGUUCUGUGUCGGGUCUUACCUUCUGGUGAACCGGCAUGUUCUUUAUUGAGUGUACCGGGGAGCCAGGACCAUUACCUUGAAAAAAUUAGAGUGUUUAAAGCAGGCAUUUGCUUGAAUAGAUUAGCCUGGAAUAAUAGAAUAGGACGUUGGUUCUAUUUUGUUGGUCUAGGACCACCGUAAUGAUUAAUAGGGAU